UUCAGAUUGUGCAUUUGAUGAACUAACAGGACUAAACCCAACAUCUGUAAGACCCCAUAACGUCCAUCAAGCUAUUACUUUCAAUGAGUCAGACUCUCUUAGUAAAGAGUUUCAUUGCCUCGCAACAAGUCAAUCAGAUGUCCAGUGUGAUUACAACUGUCUGCAUAUUAUAGGUCAAGCUGUCAUAAGACCCGUCCAAAGUCCACCCACAGUCCUCUUCCACACA
rnacentral:sRNA from 1 species